UAAAUCAACUGAGGUUAUGUACUCCUCUCUUUGGGCACGUAUGGCACAUAUUGGUAUUUGGUAUUCUCUGCCAAGGAUUCCUUUCUUCACUGGUAUGUCCAGCCCUGUGAUAGUCACGGUGUCUUUUAAACUUGCCACCUCCCUGUGAAAAUUUCCUUGCUCAUAUCUUAGUGGCUUCCUGUUUUGGCUCUAAGUUAUGACCUAGAUUGUCAUCUCUAUUUCUCACCUCCUCUUUUGGUGGAGAAUGAGAUCGCUGUCUCUGAUUGUUCUGUGAUUCUCUUAGUGUCAGGAACAGCUAAUCGUUUCCAUGAGUGUUACAGUUCUUCUAAGCUGCUUGGAAUAAAAUGGGGUAUCAUUUCCUAGAGGAUGAUGACACAGCUUUCUGGGGCUGUCAAAACACUUUAAUUCAUUGAGAAGAAGCAUUUGACGCAUAUUGUGAGAGUUAUGCAUACAUGAAGAGAAGACUAUAGAACUCAAUGGGUUAACAUCAUCUUUCAGAUAAACUUCAUUUUUCUCUCCCCUCUUUUAGCCCUUGUGCCAGUGAAACGAAAGAUAUUUUUUAAAAAACCACGACAUGAAAAGAGGGAAGUAUUGUUUUUGUAAAAGCAACCCUAAAACACAGCUAUUGAAAGAAGCAAUGUUUAAAAAAUUUAGAAUAGAUCCAUCUAAAUUCUCAGUUUAAAAUUACUUACUAAUACAAAUACCUAAAAGGCUUUAAAAAAUUGUUAAUGCUGUUGAAUAAAUGUUGAAUGAGAUAAAUGAGGUGUCUUCAAAUGGGGCUAUGAUUUAUUAUAAUCAUUUGUGGAAUUUUGGUUUCCCAUUUUAAAUGGUAUACCUCUUGCAGGCAGGAAUGGGCUUCAUUGUCCUCGUCACGGAUAAGGGAAGAGUAAAAUCCCCUGUCUUUACAAGGAAACUUGUUGGAUUUCUGGCUCCUCCUUGACCAGCAGUUUCAGACUGCAAAUGUGACAGAAAUACUGGCACAACUUAGCAUUUUCUACUAAAAGAAACACUGAUGUCUGCUUUCUAUUUGCCUUCUUUCUUGUGCCCCAUCCUUCAUAACUGCAAAGAUAACUUACAGGGAGAAGCUAAGAUCUGGGAAUUUUCUCCUGAUUGUGCUACGUUGAGUAGGGGGAGGAAUUAUGUAUGUGGGCCUCUCACUGUUGUGGCCUCUCCCAUUGUGGAGCACAGGCUCCGGACGCGCAGGCUCAACGGCCAUGGCUCACGGGCCCAGUCGCUGUGUGGCAUGUGGGAUCCUCCCGGACCGGGGCACGAACCCGUGUCCCCUGCAUUGGCAGGCGGACUCCCAACCACUGCACCACCAGGGAAGCCCAAAUUUAAAUUUUUUUAAUUUAAAUUCUAUUUGUUAGUUACUAG